GAUGAAGAACGCAGCGAAGUGCGAUAAGUAAUGUGAAUUGCAGAAUUCAGUGAAUCAUCGAAUCUUUGAACGCACAUUGCGCCCCCUGGUAUUCCGGGGGGCAUGCCUGUUCGAGCGUCAUUUCACCACUCAAGCCUCGCUUGGUAUUGGGCAACGCGGUCCGCCGCGUGCCUCAAAUCGUCCGGCUGGGUCUUCUGUCCCCUAAGCGUUGUGGAAACUAUUCGCUAAAGGGUGUUCGGGAGGCUACGCCGUAAAACAACCCCAUUUCUAAGGUUGACCUCGGAUCAGGUAGGGAUACCCGCUGAACUUAAGCAUAUCAAUAAGCGGAGGA
rnacentral:misc_RNA from 1 species